UCUACUAGCCCCUCCCAUGAAUCAGGGAGCUCCAUUUACAGCAGGAUCUUAGGUGACCAUCAAAGUGACUAUUAAUGUGCCAUGCUCUGCUCUUCCAUCUAGCUGGAAACAUUUCCAGUUCUUAUCUCCCUACCCUUAACCCAUCUACAGCCUUUCUCCUCUCUGCCUCCUCAGCCAUGACAGCCAUGUUCCUUCCGAGUAUUAUGUGAACUGCUAAUUCUAAGAUCUUAUUCCUUGUGGCUGCCUCCCUGCAAAUCGCUCAGAAGCUGCCAAUGACUCACCCAGGAAACCUGAGGCCCAGCAGUGGACUUGGAGUCAGUGGUGCCUGACAGCUGCUCGGUGGCUGAGGAAGAAUGGAAACGGGAGUCUCCACUGGUCCAUGAUAGAUGCCCCUGGUCCUGCGGCAGUUGCUGGAGUGAAAAGCAAUCAGUCGUCAAUGUUCCUGGCUGCAGUCUGGUGGAAGUUAAGGUCAGCUGAAGAAAGGACACCUCACAGACACCCCCAGGACAAUCAGGGCAUCCUGCCGUCUAGAACUCAGAGACAGAAGCAAGUCCUAACUCCAGUCCAUCCCUCACAUAUUCGGCCAAGAUGACAGGGCAGUCAACUUGAAUCCAUAGUUAUUCUGAGCAAAUGUUCCUGUGUACAUUAUCCUGAUGACUUUAGGACCAUUGACAGGGACAGGUCAGGUUCGAUUCUGCUGCCUCUGGACCACUCAGCCACAUUUGUAUUUUUGGAAACAAUGUCAGAAUCAUUCUGCCCCAAGAUCUAAUAUGUGUCACAAACUAUUCCUGAGCUCGUUUUUCCCCCCUCCUCAUUCCAAGCCUUCUGAACAAGCAAAUGAAGGCUUCCAGCCAUGAAUGAUUGAGUUACCUAACCAAACUGACCAGAAAAGGUUGGAAGAGCGCAAACAACAACCAAAAUUUCGAACUCAGCAAAAAGGAAGUGUGUAGCAGAGAACAGUCUAUCCAUCUGAGAAGGCUGAAGGCAGGCGUUAGGAAAAUUAGCUUAAGCAUUUUUCAUGCAUCAGGUACUCCAUGUUAGCUAAAAGAGGAUUAGAUUGCUGGAUGGCCACUGUCUUUAGAGCCACUGAAUGCUGACAGAACUCAAGACCACCUUGUGUGUGUGAGUGCCUGACACAUCUCAGGAACUGGGUUGCUGUACACUGGGCCGUUUAGUCUCUGAACACCAUGAUGAAGCCCUACCCAAGGACAAUGGUGUCAUUUCAAAAGUCUGUCACUUAGGAAAACAAGCAUAUCUAUCACUUAGGAUGUGUAGCACGAGCAAGCAGACCUAUCUUAAAUAAGCAGAAUGAGAAAGCUUUUGGAAAUAUACAGAAUGGUUUGGAGGACGGGAUGUACAGCUGAGCUGUCACACUGAGAAAGAUUGAUGCCAGACCCUCAGUGGGUGCCUAGGGAGUUAGGAGUGAUUGACAGCUCAUUAGUGUCCCACUGUUGGGACAAACAGAAAUCCCAUAUUUUCCCAUCAAAACUCAACAUCUGACUGACCAACCUAAUCACAUCAGUGCCCACCCCUUGACCAGAACAGGGAGGGACAUUUUGAGUAACAGCUUUAAGGAGACCCAGCUCACAUUGGAGAAAAGAGGUUUCCUUUGGCACCAUUCUACAAGGAAAGGGAGAGGGACAGACAAACACACAUCCACCAUACCACAUCUUACCAAAUUCCUUGUUAGCAGAGAAAGCAGCCAUGUGCAUUUCAUGCUGUGCAUAUCAAAGGCUAACCAAAGAUUGCCUUCCCUCUAUGUUUUCAGAGGGAAAGUUUCUUCAACUCCCCAAGAAUCAUUUUCCUCAACUAUAAAUGAAAAGGCCCAGCCUGAUAAGAGUUUUACAGCUAGAAGUGCCUCAGGCAAGAACAAACCCUCUUGGUAUGAAUAUAGAUUACAAGCUGGCGGAAAGGAAGGAUUUUGAAGGUCAUUGUGUGUCUGCAAGGUAACUGAGGGUGACUACAGAAACUGAGUCGAGGUCAUGCCUUGUCUAUCAAUUGUCCCCAUCUAAAGAGAAUGACCAGAUUAUGAUGCAGAUUUUGAAGGCUGAAUAAUGACAGGGAGGUAUAAAGAACAGCAAAGACAGAACUCUGAGGUAGGGUUCUUCUUCUGACAAAGCUUGUAGUGGCCAAAGUUCUCUCUGCAAACAGAUAAGACUUGCCCAUCUCUGAUCAGGAUGUCAAGAGAUCCCUCACAAGUGUGCUGAUCCAUGUCUACAGUUCCAGCUCUUGGGAGGUGGAAGCAAGAGGAUCUGGGUUUGAGGCUAGCCUUGGCUACAUGAGGUCAGCCUCAGCUACAUAAGGCUAACCUCAGCUACAUGAGACCCAGACUCAACAAGAGUUAAUUCAAAAUAACAGGGCAGCUAGCUAUACUACUACCAUGCAGCCUAAAUCAUUACCCCACUUCCUCUACUAGCUUUCUUCAAUAUGGGAAACUGAGGUUCUCUCCAUCUUAGGAAGCCCUCUGUGGAUGCAACUUUACCACAAAACCCAGUCACUGCUCCAAACCCCUCACCACCAGCCCCUAAAGAAUCUUUGAAGUCCCUUCUGUUGCCCCACUAAGACUCUUAUGAAGCCCAGACACAGAGCUUUAGAAAUGUGCACUGGUUAUUCAGAGUUCAGCUAACCAGAUCUUCAGUUUAAUUACCUUAUGUCUCUGAGGUCACUAGUCCCAGUGUGCUGUCAGAAAGGCUUGGCUCCUCUUACUUCAUAGCACUGAUGGGACAGACUCCUGUGAGACAGACAGACUCUUAGGACAUAAUCCCUCCCUCCACUCUGAGCUCUAAGCAACUGCCAGACUGGAGGGGGAGGAGUUUCAUUGUUGUUGUUAUUUAUUUGGUUGGUUUUGGUGUUUAUUUUUUGUUUUGUUUUGGGGCUUUGUGGGAGGGGUUGUUUUCUUGUUUGUUUGGUAUUUUGUUUUGUUUUGGAGACAGCUUUCUAUGUAAACCAGAGUAUCCUUGAACUCACCAAGAUCCUCCUGCCUCUGUCUCCCAAGUGCUGGAAUUAGAAAGUCAUGCACCACCACACCCAGAUGGGAGGGAGAGCCUUUUACCAUCUGAUUCUCAUGGUAUAGCAAUCAUUAUACUUUAUUUUUCUCCACAAUUUUGUUUUUAAAGAAGGGGUCUUGUGUCACCCAGGCUGGCCUUGAAUUUACGUAGCUGAGCUGGCCAUAAACAUCUCUCCUCCUGCUCCCAUCCCCUCAGUAGGAUUACAGUCCACAGACAGACAGACAGACAGACCAAAAGGAAAAAGGGCAGGUAAUGGAGGGUGAAUAUGGCUGAAAUAAAUAUGCACAUGCAUGAAAACGUCAAAUAAAACCCACUAUUAAAUACAAUUAAUAUAUGCUAAUAAUGUUUUUAAAUAAUUGGUGGAACCUAAUUAAGUACAUAUUAAUAUAUAUACACUUAAAAGAAUAGUCUUUUUCCUAAGUAGGACUUAGGAACAUAUGAUUCUCGAGCUGGACAUCUGCAAGAAAAUUAAUCAAGUAGACAAUGGAUUGGAAAGAGUACUCUAUGUUUCGUGCAUAUUUAUUGUUUAUUAAUGACCUCUCUUGAUUGAUUGGCUUCUGUUUUAUUGGUUUCUCUCAAUGACACAAAUGUAAAUUGACUUCUUAAUCAUCCACACUUGUAACCAUUUACCCACACGUUCAGUGACACUGCCUGUGAGCCUGCUGGGCCAUGUUAUAGGAGCACAAGUGCUCCUCCAGGGUCUGGGUCUCCAUGUCUUGACUUGUUCUCUACCACUGCUCCAUAACGACACCCAUCGUCAUGAGACAAACAUCUUGGGACUGCGUGUUACCCUGCCUCAGUCCUGAGAAUCACAUUCACUCCUUGAAUAUAUGUCUGCCUGGUCCCGGGCGUACAGUUCUGCCUAGAGCAGGCUCAUCCACAGCUUUGCUCACCACUGACACAAGCUCAACUCGUUCCCUAGAAACCACAGAAAGGUAGAAGGAGGGGACAGACUAUUACAAAGUUGUCAUAUGACCUACACAGACAUGCCAGGACACACACACACACACACACACACACACACACACACACACACACAAAUU